rnacentral:rRNA from 1 species
GAUCAUGGCUCAGAUUGAACGCUGGCGGCAUGCCUAACACAUGCAAGUCGAACGGAGUAGGGGCAACUCUACUUCAGUGGCGGACGGGUGAGGAAUGCGUCGGAAUCUACCCUAUGGUGGGGGAUAACACAGGGAAACUUGUGCUAAUACCGCAUGAUGUCGAGAGACCAAAGCAGGGGACCGCAAGGCCUUGCGCGAUAGGAUGAGCCGACGCCCGAUUAGCUAGUUGGUAGGGUAAAGGCCUACCAAGGCGACGAUCGGUAGCUGGUCUGAGAGGAUGAUCAGCCACACUGGGACUGAGACACGGCCCAGACUCCUACGGGAGGCAGCAGUGGGGAAUAUUGGACAAUGGGCGCAAGCCUGAUCCAGCAAUGCCGCGUGUGUGAAGAAGGCCUGCGGGUUGUAAAGCACUUUUGUUCGGGAAGAAAACGGAUCGGUUAAUACCCGGUUCGGAUGACGGUACCGAAAGAAUAAGCACCGGCUAACUUCGUG